CGCCUCUUGUUUCUCCUAUAUAAGAGGUCCUGCCUGCCCAGUGACAUAUUGUUAAACGGCCGCGGUAUCAUGACCGUGCAAAGGUAGCGUAAUCACUUGUCUUCUAAAUAAAGACCGGUAUGAAUGGCAAAACGGGAGUUCAACUGUCUCCUUUAACCAAUCAGUGAAAUUGAUCUUUCCGUGCAGAAGCGGAAAUUUAAAUAUAAGACGAGAAGACCCUAUGGAGCUUAAAAUAUAAACCAUUUAUAAAAUAAUAUACCAAAAGGCUAAUAAUUAACAUAAAUUCUGGUUAAAAUUUUAGGUUGGGGCGACCACGGAAUAAAAUAAAACUUCCGAGAUGAAAUUAUAAUUCAAGGGUAACAACCCUAAAAAAUAAAACAUUUAACAUAAUUGAUCCAAUAUUUUGAUCAACGGACCAAGUUACCCUAGGGAUAACAGCGCAAUCCUUUCCAAGAGUUCUUAUCGACGAAUGGGUUUACGACCUCGAUGUUGGAUCAGGACAUCCUAAUGGUGCAGCUGCUAUUAAGGGUUCGUUUGUUCAACGAUUAAAGUCCC
rnacentral:rRNA from 1 species